rnacentral:tRNA from 1 species
AGGAAUAUAGUUAACUAUAACAUUUAAAUUGCAUAUAAAAAAUAUUGAAAUAUUCAAUUAUUCUUA